GGAAUUAUGUCAAAGAAGAAGCUUCUAACUUCUAGCUUGAGCGGUUAAAUUCCGUUUAUUCCC
rnacentral:tRNA from 1 species